rnacentral:lncRNA from 12 species
CCACACUUGGCCGCGGCCCCGGGGCGCGCGGGGCCCCGUCCUGCUGGUGCGCGGGGCUCUGGAGCCAGAAAGUGUACACAGACCAUAAAUCUCCUGCCCCGCCCGGCGCCGGGCCCCUCGCUCCGGCCCUGGGAGCUGCGGCCGGCUGCAAAGCGCUGCUGGGACCCGCCGCAGCUCCAGGCCGGUCGCAUCCGUCCCGCCGCUGCAGGGGCACCCCCGGCAGCCUGGGGACUCGGGUCACAGGCUCCCCGGCAGCGGCGGGGGAGGAGGAGGAGGAGGUGGUAGAGGAGGAGGAGGAGGCGGGGAGGGGGGGCGGAGCGGGAAGCAGGCGAGGCCUGUAGGGAUGCGCACGUCGGGAGGCCAGGGUGCGCGUGCCCCAGACCGUGCCUGCGCCCGUGCCUGUGCGCGGUAUCAGGUCCCCCAACCUCUGCAGACCGGAGGCUGAGCUGCCUGCAGGUUGCUGCGCAAACCCACCGGGACGCAAAAGGCAAGGCUUGGUGGGAGAGCUGGAGAGGACUCAGAAGGCAGCCACGGGUUUCCUCUCAACCAUUCCUCUGCGAUGGGAAAACCCAAAGAGGGGGAAAGAGCACGAAACUGCACUCUGAAAGAGAGAAGUCAACAGAGGAGGCAGCGACCUUGCAGGAGACGAGAACAAAGGGAUUUGGCUUAGAUCACCCGCGAAGGACCCCAGGCACCUUAUGGGACGAUUUUUCUGGGUGCUGCGCACCCGCGGGGGGGCUGAUGUCGGGAUCAACCAGAGCGAGGUCGCGACCUGCGGGCCCUCGCUGACCUUGGAUUGGGCUCUGGGCCACCCGCUGGGGAUCCGAGAAGACGGAGGACUCGGGACCCUCCACCACCCAAAGGAGCGGUGAACAGGGUGAGGGGUGGGCGUCCCCCUAAAGGCUUGAGGCUUCAAGCACGGCCUGAGCUGGGAGCCCAGAGCCCAGCCACACCGAGUCUCAGGGACGCUUCUUUGGAGCGCAAGCACGGCCUGUGAGUCUCUCCAUAGACGGAUCCAGAAAAUGGCCAGAUGAUCAACAGAUGCCUGUGGGGAUUGCGAGAUAAGGAAUCCUACUCGGUCAUUAAGUCAUUCGUUCCUUCGUUCAUUCAUUAGCUCUUUUCUUGAGCUCGUCUCACGUGCUGUGAAGUGCGGGGUGCACUCUUCACCCCAUUCCGACAAACAAAAAUAAACCGCCCUGAUGAAUCA